rnacentral:rRNA from 1 species
AGUGAACGCUGGCGGUAGGCCUAACACAUGCAAGUCGAACGGCAGCACAGUAAGAGCUUGCUCUUACGGGUGGCGAGUGGCGGACGGGUGAUGAAUACAUCGGAAUCUACUUUUUCGUGGGGGAUAACGUAGGGAAACUUACGCUAAUACCGCAUACGACCUACGGGUGAAAGCAGGGGAUCUUCGGACCUUGCGCGAUUGAAUGAGCCGAUGUCGGAUUAGCUAGUUGGCGGGGUAAAGACCCACCAAGGCGACGAUCCGUAGCUGGUCUGAGAGGAUGAUCGGCCACACUGAAACUGAGACACGUUCCAGACUCCUACGGAAGGCGGCGGUGGGGAAUAUUGAACAAUGGGCGCAAGCCGGAUCCAGCCAUCCCGGGUGGUGAAGAAGGCCUUCGGGUUGUAAAGCCCUUUUGUUGGGAAAGAAAAGCAGCAGGUUAAUACCCCGCUGUUCUGACGGUACCCAAAGAAUAAGCACCGGCUAACUUCGUG